rnacentral:rRNA from 1 species
GACGAACGCUGGCGGCGUGCCUAAUACAUGCAAGUCGAACGCUGAAGGAGGAGCUUGCUCUUCUGGAUGAGUUGCGAACGGGUGAGUAACGCGUAGGUAACCUGCCUGGUAGCGGGGGAUAACUAUUGGAAACGAUAGCUAAUACCGCAUAACAGUAGAUGUUGCAUGACAUUUACUUAAAAGGUGCAAUUGCAUCACUACCAGAUGGACCUGCGUUGUAUUAGCUAGUUGGUGGGGUAACGGCUCACCAAGGCGACGAUACAUAGCCGACCUGAGAGGGUGAUCGGCCACACUGGGACUGAGACACGGCCCAGACUCCUACGGGAGGCAGCAGUAGGGAAUCUUCGGCAAUGGACGGAAGUCUGACCGAGCAACGCCGCGUGAGUGAAGAAGGUUGUCGGAUCGUAAAGCUCUGUUGUAAGAGAAGAACGAGUGUGAGAGUGGAAAGUUCACACUGUGACGGUAGCUUACCAGAAAGGGACGGCUAACUACGUG